UACGAGGGGGGCAAGCGUUGUUCGGAAUUAUUGGGCGUAAAGGGCGCGUAGGCGGUUUGACAAGUCUGAUGUGAAAUCUAUGGGCUCAACCCAUAGCCUGCAUUAGAAACUGUCGGGCUUGAGUAUGGGAGAGGUGAGUGGAAUUUCCGGUGUAGCGGUGAAAUGCGCAGAUAUCAGGAGGAACACCGAUUGCGAAGGCAGCUCGCUGGGACGUUACUGACGCUGAGACGCGAAAGCGUGGGGAGCAAACAGG
rnacentral:rRNA from 1 species